GCGCGCAGGUUCAACAGACCGUGGACAACUGCUCCUCGCCUUCCCGGCAGCGCUGUGGUCUUCUGCGCCCGAACAGGGGCAACGGGACCUGCGUCACUGGCUACCUGGGCUGGGGACAGGGCUGGGUAGAGCCUGGCAUUUCGGAAUGUCAGGGCUCAGGGAGCCAGACUCUCAAUCCGAGUGUCCAUAACUCACCUGUAGCCCCUUAAUGACGCUUCGGCCUUUCCUCUGACCAGCUCUUCUGGGUUCUGAAGCCUACCACUGGUCUACCCCACUAAGCCUCCACAGCCAUCUUAAACAGGAAUUUCCAGAAGGCAUUCAGGACUUUGGGUUUGCUGGAGGAAAAGACUUUCUCCCUUGGACCAGAAAAUUCUAAAAGGUUCAUUCAUUUUGUGUCAAUAGACUCGAGCUGCAGCAUCUGCUCUUUCCUGGGUCCCCAGAGAUUUGGACUUGCCAUCCUUCACAAUCAGAGAACCAGAAAGAGUGUGACAGCAUUCAGAGAGGAAGAGAUGACCACUCUUACACUGAUAACGUUUCUACCAGCUUUAGCAGACUAUGGCACCACUUGGGAGGACCAUGGUCUUAAAGCCUAGAUCUUGCCACCCCAUGCUGGGUGCAGGUUAUAAACAACUUUGAAUGAAGCAGGGGAAGCAUUUCAGCCCCUCCACUGAGAGGCUGAAGGUCACUGCAACUGUAAAGUGGAAGUUGUUAACAUCCUUCCUCAUCAUUAUUCGAAAUAUGCAGCUGAGGCUCAGACCAAGACACAGAUGAAUGAAAAUGCUCACCAAGCUUUUUUUUUUUUUUUUUUUUUUUUAACAAAGAUGAAAAUGCAGUGGGCCCCUGUCAUAUAAAGUCUUACCGGCAUGCUUUGUAGAACUUGAAUAUUCUAAGAGCAGUCAGCCACUGAACCCUGGCACAAACUUAUCACUGGUGUGGAGCAAGGUGCCUCUGCCUCCCCCAUUUCUUACCCACACUCUCUUUGCUCUUUCUGGCUGCUUUCAGAGAGAUGGUGCCUUUGCCAAUAGACAAGAAGUAGAAGAGGCAAUGUUUAUUAAAUAGAAGCUGCUGCCUCUCCUGCCACGCCAACUCUACAAUACAUCUGUUUCUACUGCCACAUCUCUACCUCUACAGAAACAUGGCCAAGAUGGGAGGGACAUGAAACCCCCCUACCUUGGGCUGAUAUUGUCUUGAUGUAAGAAGACAAUAUUGAUUAAAACACCAGUAUUUCAAAUUGUC